GACGAACCGUGCUAACGUUGUUCGGAUUCACUGGGCUUAAAGGGCGCGUAGGCGGGGGGCCAAGUCGGGGGUGAAAUCCUUCAGCUCAACUGAAGAACGGCCUUCGAUACUGGUUCUCUUGAGGGAGGUAGGGGCAGGUGGAACUUCCGGUGGAGCGGUGAAAUGCGUAGAUAUCGGAAGGAACGCCGGUGGCGAAAGCGACCUGCUGGAUCUCUACUGACGCUGAGGCGCUAAAGCCAGGGGAGCAAACGGG
rnacentral:rRNA from 1 species